rnacentral:rRNA from 1 species
CCCUUAGGUGUCCUGGGCUGCACGCGCGCUACACUGAUGUGUCCAGUAAGCACCUAACCUCUUCCGAAAGGAACGGGUAACCUUUGCAAAGCACAUCGUGAUGGGGAUAGAUUAUUGCAAUUAUUAGUCUUGAACGAGGAAUUCCUAGUAAGCACAAGUCAUCAGCUUGUGUUGAUUACGUCCCUGCCCUUUGUACACACCGCCCGUCGCUCCUACCGAUUGAAUGUUCCGGUGAGCUCUUCGGACUGCGCGGUCUGCAGUUUCUGCGUUCCGUGCGGAAAGUUGCGCAAACCUUAACAUUUAGAGGAAGGAGAAGUCGUAACA